CCCCCCCCCCCGGCGUCAUUGGUUUGGCUUGGGAGCCUGAGAGGGUCUAUGUUGAGAUCAGUUUGGAACAGUAUAUACAAUUUCCUUAUGUGUAGAGCGGGGAAGAUUGGUGUGGACAACAAAACAAAGGAAACAAAAUCAGAGGCUCAGAAAAGUAAUUCUUUUAUGAGAGGUGUCGAUCCGCGCCCAUGAAAUGUCACAGUUACCUGGCCUUUAAAUAAAACCUAACAACAGUUGCCAAGCCUGGGAAAGGAAGUCAAGUCUAUCCGUAAGCCAUGCCAAAGAUCCGGAAGAUGCUUCUGAGGCAGAAACUCAGGUUUGCGCUGGUCAAGAAAUGGUUAAUAGGGUCUGUAAGCGGCCUUGUUGUUAAUUACAAGUUGUUAAGAUCAUAAAUCUCCGCAUGUCUGGCUGGAGAUGCCAGUGAGAGGCCCUUUCUGAUAUCUCCAGCUAGCCAAGCGUGUAAACUAACAUUUUCAAGGACACAUCUGGAGGAAAUAGUUUGCUUAUCUAUAUGUAGAAGAAGAAAGGCUUAAUUGUAAUAGAGGAAUGUUGCCAAUUGUAAUAUGAGCAUGAUUAUAAUAAUUGUAAUAUGAUGGAUAAUUGAUGCUAACCAAUGAAGAUUGUAUCUACUGAAUGUAAUUGAGAUGGAUAUAAAAAGCUGGAAUCACGAUGUAAUCUUUAUCUCAGGUUGGGAGCGAUUCCUCUGAGAUCCAAUUGCCAGGCAAUAAAUCUGUUUUUUCUCAA